rnacentral:rRNA from 1 species
AACGAACGCUGGCGGCAUGCCUAACACAUGCAAGUCGAACGAGACCUUCGGGUCUAGUGGCGCACGGGUGCGUAACGCGUGGGAACCUGCCCUUAGGUUCGGAAUAACUCCCCGAAAGGGGUGCUAAUACCGGAUAAUGUCUUCGGACCAAAGAUUUAUCGCCUUUGGAUGGGCCCGCGUUGGAUUAGCUAGUUGGUAGGGUAAAAGCCUACCAAGGCGACGAUCCAUAGCUGGUCUGAGAGGAUGAUCAGCCACACUGGGACUGAGACACGGCCCAGACUCCUACGGGAGGCAGCAGUGGGGAAUAUUGGACAGUGGGCGAAAGCCUGAUCCAGCAAUGCCGCGUGAGUGAUGAAGGCCUUAGGGUUGUAAAGCUCUUUUACCCGGGAUGAUAAUGACAUUACCGGGAGAAUAAGCUCCGGCUAACUCCGUG